rnacentral:rRNA from 1 species
GAUGAACGCUGGCGGCGUGCCUAACACAUGCAAGUCGAACGAAGCAUUUAAACCUGAUUAUUUCGGUAAGAAAGUUUAUCUGACUGAGUGGCGGACGGGUGAGUAACGCGUGGGCAACCUGCCUUACACAGGGGGACAACAGCCGGAAACGGCUGCUAAUACCGCAUAAGCGCACAGUUUCGCAUGGGACAGUGUGAAAAACUCCGGUGGUGUAAGAUGGGCCCGCGUCUGAUUAGCUUGUUGGCGGGGUAACGGCCCACCAAGGCGACGAUCAGUAGCCGACCUGAGAGGGUGACCGGCCACAUUGGGACUGAGACACGGCCCAA